UGGGUCUCCGCCACUUAAAACCACGUUCAUUGCAACAAUAUCAACUGGAGCAUAAAUAACAUAAGAGCCUGUGGAGUCGGUGCAACUCUCUUGAAGAAUCAGCAUGUUGCUCUGGCUUGAGUUUGCACUCUUUAAGGGAUUAUAAAGACGAGAAUGAAUGGCAAAAAAUGGUUUGAUUUGAUACCUCACUUCUAGAGUGCUCAUCGCGAAGAAAAUCAAAAACUCUCUUUGGAGGAACUGGGAUCCAAAACGAGGUUGCAGCACUUAACACGAUCCCAGGAGGCCUACCAGGAUCAUCCAUGCUCUUUCUGGUCAUAACCCUUACAUCAUCAGCUCCACUUCCUGAUAAUGUUGUCCACGUGUGCGCUGUCGAAGCACCAACACCAGUGCAAAAGCUCAUAACCAUCCUCUCAGCCAGUUUCAGCAUACUCUUCCUCCCCUCUGGACUUGUUAUAACUGUAACAAAAUUGACAACAAAAAUACUAGAAAUGGGAACAUUGUUUCUGUCAACUGAAUUUUUUUUUUUUUUUGUUGUCAUUUUUAUGUCUACAGAAUUAUUGUAGAGUUGAUUAGCAUGACAUGUGUCAAUAGUGAAAUGGUUUGAUUA